AACGAACGCUGGCGGCAUGCCUAACACAUGCAAGUCGAACGAGACCUUCGGGUCUAGGGGCGCACGGGGGCGUAACGCGGGGGAACCUGCCCGUAGGUUCGGAAUAACUCCCCGAAAGGGGUGCUAAUACCGGAUAAUGUCAUCGGACCAAAGAUUUAUCGCCUGGGGAUGGGGGCGCGUCGGAUUAGCUGGUUGGUAGGGGAGAAGCUUACCAAGGCGACGAUGCAUCGCUGGUCGGAGAGGAUGACCGGCCACAUGGGGACUGAGAAACGGCCCAGACUCCUACGGUAGGCAGCAGUGGGGAAUAUUGCACAAUGGGCGGAAGCCUGAUGCAGCAACGCCGCGUGCGGGAUGACGGCCUUCGGGUUGGAAACCGCUUUCGCCUGUGACGAAGCGUGAGUGACGGUAAGGGGUAAAGAAGCACCGGCUAACUACGUG
rnacentral:rRNA from 1 species